rnacentral:lncRNA from 10 species
GACGAGGAGGCGCAGCGAACGCAGAUAAAGAAUCCGAGGCGCAGAGAGGUGGCACUGCUGGAAGGAACAGAGCCAGAUCCACAAGAUCCUUCAUUCCGACAAUAAAUAUUCACUGAAGAUCUGCCACAUGUCAGGCCCCAGCCCAGAUCAGGAAAUUGAGGUCCAGUGAGGUGUCUUGGCCAGGACACUCAGUCAGGACGUGACAUGAACACAGGACUGUCUGACUUCAAAUCCAGUGCUCCUUCCCCUGCAGUCCCCACCCCACUGACUGGGGGACAGUGCUCCAGGCAGCUGGAAUGGGACACGGUUUGUGUGGCAGCGAGAUAUCCAGGCUCUCCUCCUUCCAGAUCUAAGGCAUGCGGUGUGAACAGGAGCAAUCCCUUCACAGUGUGGAGCCACCGGCUUUGGAGUUGUUUGUGGCUGCAGUGUGUAACCCAGCAUCUCCUGACUGAUGUUAUAGGUUCUGCCGGAGGGGCAAAUGCGGGCAGCAAGGGCUUGCAGCCCUGGAAUUAACAAAUGAGAUUCAAACCCAGGUCUGCUUGACUAGGAAGGCCGGCCCUCUCCAUGGUGCCAGGACAACUCUUUGGAGAAGAUGCCCCUCUCUCUGCCUGCCUGAAUCUUCUCCGUCCACAAAGGCCUGCUCCAUCCUCCCUCCUCCAGGAAGCUUUCCCUGACUGUCCCCGGGCCCAGCCAGGGUGUCUGGGGGGCUGGAGAGACCCACAGAGCCCUGAUCACCGUGGCUGGCCCGUAAGUGUGGCGACUGAGUCCCAGUCUGGAGGCACAGCUGGACUUUCCCAGAGAGAACUGAGGCAUUGUGGGAAUUUCCCAGCUGUGACCCCAGGACCCUGAUUGCCCAGAAUGGCUCCAAGUUCACAUAUCUAGGGACCGUCACCAAGACUCCUGUAUCUAUAUUAAACUCGGUAAAUGUGAUGACCCUGGAAAUGUGCCCUCAGCAUCACAACCGCACUCUUGGCCCCUCCAGAAUUCAGAGCCACUUUGGGAGUCCACC